rnacentral:rRNA from 1 species
AGAAUUGAUCUGGUCAGGAUGAACGCUGGCGGCGUGCCUAAUACAUGCAAGUCGAACGAGAGUGCUUGCACUCUAGUGGCGAACGGGUGAGUAACACGUAGGUAACCUGCCUUACAGUUUGGGAUACCCUGGCGAAAGCUAGGCUAAUACCGAAUAAUUGGAUUGGAGGCAUCUCCGAUCUCUAAAAGGGGCCUUUAAAGCCUCGCUGAAUGAUGGACCUGCGGCGCAUUAGCUAGUUGGUGAGAUAACAGCCCACCAAGGCGAGGAUGCGUAGCCGACCUGAGAGGGUGAACGGCCACACUGGAACUGAGACACGGUCCAGACUCCUACGGGAGGCAGCAGUAGGGAGUUUUCGGCAAUGGGGGCAACCCUGACCGAGCAACGCCGCGUGAAUGAAUGAAGGUCUUCGGAUUGUAAAGUUCUGUUAUAAGGGAAAAAUGAUAUGGUGAGGAAAUGCUCCAUAUUUGAUGGUACCUUAUUAGAAAGCCACGGCUAACUACGUGCCAGCCGCCGC